AUGGCGGAAAGAUACAACACCGACGUCAUUAUGGACGACGGCACCAUCAUUCAUACCACCGUGACGUCCUGGUCCCUCGACGUCCAGCGCUUCAUAAAGGAGGUGCAGGGGUCCCAGAUCCGCAUCACCGGCCUCGACGCCGAGUGGCGGCCCAACCGCAAGAGAGGCGCCGGACAAAACCCGAUCGCCGUCCUCCAGCUCUGCGUGGGCCGCCGCUGCCUCGUGUACCAGAUCAUCCACGGCACCGGCAUCCCCAUCUCGCUGUGCAGCUUUCUCUACCUCUCUGGCUUCACCUUCGUCGGCGUCGGGAUUGCCGAUGACGCGAAACGCCUGCGUGCCGAGUACAGCCUUGAGGUGUCCAACAUGGUCGACCUGAGGGAGUUGGCGGCGAACUCACCACACCGGCCGCGGCCGGAGCUGCGGUCGGCUGGGCUGAAAGCCAGGGCGCUCGCGGUGAUGGGGGCGCACAUCCCGAAGCCGCCAGAGGUGACGAUGAGCGACUGGACCGCGCCGUCGCAGUCGAGGGAGCAGGUCGAGUACGCCUGCAUCGACGCCUACGUCUCCUUCGAGAUCGGUCGCCGGCUGCUCACUCGUAAUUACUAA
rnacentral:rRNA from 1 species